rnacentral:rRNA from 1 species
CAGUCGCCGCGGUAAUACGUAGGUGGCAAGUGUUGUCCGGAAUUAUUGGGCGUAAAGGGCUCGCAGGCGGUUUCUUAAGUCUGAUGUGAAAGCCCCCGGCUCAACCGGGGAGGGUCAUUGGAAACUGGGAAACUUGAGUGCAGAAGAGGAGAGUGGAAUUCCACGUGUAGCGGUGAAAUGCGUAGAGAUGUGGAGGAACACCAGUGGCGAAGGCGACUCUCUGGUCUGUAACUGACGCUGAGGAGCGAAAGCGUGGGGAGCGAACAGGAUUAGAUACCCGCGUAGUCCCUGUCUCUUAUAC